CCUACGGGGGGCUGCAGUAAGGAAUAUUGGUCAAUGGACGCAAGUCUGAACCAGCCAUGCCGCGUGGAGGAUGAAGGUCCUCUGGAUUGUAAACUUCUUUUAUUUGGGAAGAAACUCCCGAUUUCCAUCGGGAUUGACGGUACCAGAUGAAUAAGCACCGGCUACCUCCGUGCCAGCAGCCGCGGUAAUACGGAGGUUGCAGGCUUCAUCCGGAUUCAAGGGUGCGUAGGGGGGCAGGGAAGGCCGGGUUGAAAUCUCCGGGCUUAACCCGGAAACUGCCAUUGAUACUAUUUGUCUUGAAUACUCUGGAGGUGAGCGGAAUAUGUCAUGUAGCGGUGAAAUGCUUAGAUAUGACAUAGAACACCCAUUGCGAAGGCAGAUCACUACGGAAAUAUUGACGCUGAGGCACGAAAGCGUGGGGAUCAAACAGGAUUAGAUACCCCUGUAGUC
rnacentral:rRNA from 1 species